rnacentral:rRNA from 1 species
GACGCCUGCCCGGUGCUGGAAGGUUAAGGGGAUCUGUUAGAGCAAUCGAAGCAGUGAACUUAAGCCCCAGUAAACGGCGGCCGUAACUAUAACGGUCCUAAGGUAGCGAAAUUCCUGGUCGGGUAAGUUCCGACCCGCACGAAAGGCGUAACGAUUUGGGCACUGUCUCAACAACAGACUCGGUGAAAUUGUAAUUCCGGUGAAGAUGCCGGAUACCUGCGACAGG